rnacentral:lncRNA from 1 species
CUGAGCCCAACAGAGCAGAGCCUGAGAGCAACCCCACGAGAAAACCACGAUCCCGGGUAACGCCAGGAGUUCCAGACAGUGCGAGCAGAGCAGCAAAGCAAGGCAAAAACCCCUGAGGUGGGAAAGAAAUGAGAAGGAGAAACACUGGGCUUAUUCUUAAUCGCUUUGCAUUUCCACAGAAAGGUCUCACUGAGUUGCCCCAGCGGGGCUUGAUCCUCCUGCCUCAGCGUCCGGAGCGUGGGUUUUUUGGGUGUGCACCACCACGCCCUGCUCAGCACUGCGGGUUUGCAGCAACUUUACUUGGUUCCCACAUAAAAGCAAACUCUUGUCUGUCCUCGUUUUCCAGUGUGAACACAGAACAACAGUCUUCCUCUCCAUGGAGCAAGAGGAUCUCUUGCGAUUCUUGGGACCCUACUUUCCUCCUGUUAAUGAUAAAGACCUAGGCGCAGAAAAAACACAAGGGAAAAGCAGCAGAGGCGUGGUCACCCUUGGUGGCGGCUCCCAGCGGGAUGAUGGGGGACCCAGCCCCUCAGAGACUCUACCUUGUUGGUCACCCUGAGGGUCCAGGGCUGAGAGACCUUUUAACUUUUUAAUAAAGAAGAUGAAUUCAAGUUUUUCCAUGAAAAUUUCCUUUAAAAACACUGCUUUAACUUUUAAAAGAAACUCAAGCCUAGUGACCGAAUACACUCUUGGGGACAGAACUCUCCAUCUCCCGGGCCCACGAGGGCUGCCAGUGCGCCUGUGAUCAGGGAC